GUCCAGACUCCUACGGGAGGCAGCAGUGAGGAAUAUUGGUCAAUGGUCGGGAGACUGAACCAGCCAAGCCGCGUGAGGGAGGAAGGUACAGAGUAUCGUAAACCUCUUUUGUCAGGGAACAAAGGCGGGGACGUGUCCCCGGAUGAGUGUACCUGAAGAAAAAGCAUCGGCUAACUCCGUGCCAGCAGCCGCGGUAAUACGUAGGGAGCGAGCGUUGUCCGGAAUUACUGGGUGUAAAGGGAGCGUAGGCGGGCUUGUAAGUUGAAUGUCUAAUCCACCGGCUCAACCGGUGAUCGCGUUCAAAACUGCAGGUCUUGAGUGAAGUAGAGGCAGGCGGAAUUCCUAGUGUAGCGGUGAAAUGCGUAGAUAUUAGGAGGAACACCAGUGGCGAAGGCGGCCUGCUGGGCUUUAACUGACGCUGAGGCUCGAAAGCGUGGGGAGCAAACAGGAUUAGAUACCCGGGUAU
rnacentral:rRNA from 1 species